AUUUGAGGGUUGAAUUCAGAAUUUAGGAAUUCUAGUGUUCACAGCGACUUCGAUUCUUCUCGUUGAUUUCGAUUUAAACUCAUUCUUUCUACCUAUAUUAUGUCAAGAUGGCUUGUGAUCUGC